rnacentral:rRNA from 1 species
AGCGCGGGGGCAACCCUGGCGGCGAGCGGCGAACGGGUGAGUAACAUAUCGGAACGUACCCCGUCGUGGGGGAUAACACAGCGAAAGCUGUGCUAAUACCGCAUACGACCUGAGGGUGAAAGCGGGGGACCGUAAGGCCUCGCGCGAUGGGAGCGGCCGAUAUCGGAUUAGCUUGUUGGUGAGGUAAAGGCUCACCAAGGCGACGAUCCGUAGCUGGUCUGAGAGGACGACCAGCCACACUGGAACUGAGACACGGUCCAGACUCCUACGGGAGGCAGCAGUGGGGAAUUUUGGACAAUGGGGGCAACCCUGAUCCAGCCAUUCCGCGUGAGUGAAGAAGCCUUCGGGUUGUAAAGCUCUUUCAGCAGGAACGAAACGGUGGCCCCUAAUACGGGCUACUAAUGACGGUACCUGAAGAAGAAGCACCGGCUAACUACGUGCCAGCAGCCGCGGUAAUACGUAGGGUGCGAGCGUUAAUCGGAAUUACUGGGC